rnacentral:lncRNA from 1 species
CUAAGGCUCCGUUUGGUUUGGAAAUUAGUAGUAACUAGUUAUACCGGGGAUAGAUAUAAGUAUAAAUUUUUAUAAGAAUAAGAGUAUUUUUUUGUUUGGAUGAAAAUGUGAGUAUAACUAUAAGCUGAAACUAAAAAAAUUAUGUUUGGAUGGUUAUUAGGAAUAAGAGGAAUAGUUGUUAGUUAUAAAUAAAAAAUAAUGAUAUUAUCUCUAUAAUUAAAUUUAAAAUUUUAAAAUUUAAACUUAUAAUUAAAAAUUAAAAAUUAAAAAUUUUAACUUUUAAAUUUUAAAAUUUAAAAUUAAAAUUUAAAAUUAAAAUUUUAAAUAACAAAUUUUAAAUUUAAGACCAAAUUUAAAUUUCAAAAAUAUAAAAUAGCAAAUUUAAAAUUUAAAAACUAAAAAUAUUAAAUUUAAAAUUUAAAUUUUAAAAAUAUCAAAUUUAAAAUUUAUAAUUUAUAAUUUAUAAUUUUAAAUUUUAAAUUUAAAUUUUAAAAUUAUAAAUUUUAAAAAUUUAAAUUUAAAUUUAAA